AUUGAACGCUGGCGGAAUGCUUUACACAUGCAAGUCGAGCGGCAGCGCGGUCUUCGGACUGGCGGCGAGCGGCGAACGGGUGAGUAAUACAUCGGAACAUGCCCAGUCGUGGGGGAUAACACUUCGAAAGAAGUGCUAAUACCGCAUACGUCCUGAGGGAGAAAGCGGGGGACCGCAAGACCUCGCGCGAUUGGAGUGGCCGAUGUCAGAUUAGCUAGUUGGUGGGGUAAAGGCCUACCAAGGCAACGAUCUGUAGCUGGUCUGAGAGGAUGAUCAGCCACACUGGGACUGAGACACGGCCCAGACUCCUACGGGAGGCAGCAGUGGGGAAUUUUGGACAAUGGGGGCAACCCUGAUCCAGCCAUUCCGCGUGAGUGAAGAAGGCCUUCGGGUUGUAAAGCUCUUUCGGCAGGAACGAAACGGCGAGCUCUAACAUAGCUCGCUAAUGACGGUACCUGAAGAAGAAGCACCGGCUAACUACGUGCCAGCAGCCGCCGUAAAAC
rnacentral:rRNA from 1 species